rnacentral:lncRNA from 1 species
UUAUAUGCCACUGUGCUAAAUGAUGUAGGGCCAAAGCUGAGAAAUUGUGGUUUGUUGGCAAAACUCUGCAAGACUCAGGAUAAAUUGUCCUGAAGGCGCUGGCAAUGGGAACAGAAGAUGAGUACGAGUGUGAGAAUGCCUGUGUGUCUUUCAGGACACUGAAAGGAAAGAGUUGUUAGCCCUAGGCAUUUUUCAGAAGGUGUUGAUGAAACUUCUAUGCUGUAAGAAGAGAAAGAAACUCCCACUAGCUGCGGUUAGCAACAAGACUCCUGAAGACAAUGAUAUGUGAAUGAAAAAGACAGGAACUAAUUUUACUCUAUUAUUUAUUGAAUGUCUGGGUGGAUUGACUAAAUGGAAAA